GAUGAAGAACGUAGCGAAAUGCGAUACGUAAUGUGAAUUGCAGAAUUCAGUGAAUCAUCGAAUCUUUGAACGCACAUUGCACUCCUUGGUAUUCCGAGGAGUAUGCCUGUUUCAGUAUCAUGAGCACUCUCACAUCUAACCUUUGGGUUAAAAUGUGGAAUUGGGAUGCGCCGGUUAUUAUAACGGCCCUCCUAAAAUUCAGUUCUUGGCUGCUUCCUCCUACAGCAGUUUGGCCUAAUAGUUUUGAGUCUUCGAUUCAAAUCUUUGGCUAACAUUUGCUUCAGGAUGUCAGUCUUGAUAUACAGAAAUCUCAUUCAAACUUUGAUCUGAAAUCAGGUAGGGCUACCCGCUGAACUUAAGCAUAUCAAUAAGCGGAGGA
rnacentral:misc_RNA from 1 species